rnacentral:lncRNA from 1 species
UUUUUGACUUUUCACAGAAUGAUCCUCAACACAGACCCAACCAUGCACCAAAAAGAUGCUUUAUACCACUUAAAAGUUAUAAAAUCUCCUUCAUAUUUACCUAUACUCUUGUAUGUUUAUGCUGACCUGUUAAUUUUAAUUUCCUACGUGGCUGGAGCACAUAUUACCGCAGACAUUCAACAUCCGGUUAUGCACACACUGCAGCCAUCACUCCACACUCCUCUCGUGGCUGACUUGUGCCAAAACGAGACUAUCGCCUUCUCAUACCAUUAUAUAACCAUAUAGCCUCACACUUCCAUUCAAACUCAACCCAAACCAGAAAAAACCCUAGUUUUUUCAUCUUCUAGCUAGUCUGAGUCCUGUCUGAUCAUCAGGCAAACAACAACCCACUUAUUCAGAAAAAAUAUAAUUCAUUUUUCAUACCAAGAAUUUCAUAAAAAUGUCUCUCGUUUCAAAAACCAUUGGCCCAUGGUGCAAGAAGCAUGCAGAUGGAGAUGAUGAUGGAUAUGACUAUGCCCCGGCAGCACACAUAGAACAAGAUGGAGACGAUGAUGAUGGAGAUUACGAUUAUGCUCCAGCUGCAUCCUUGGAAGGUGAUGAUGACGAUGAUGGUGGUUAUGAUUAUGCUCCAGCUGCAUGAAUGAAUUAUACUGUAGUAGUGUAAACUCAUGACAGAAUGCAAAAGAGCCUGACUAUUACUCCUAGUUACAGAGUUCAUAAACAUCCUAAAUUUUGUAGCUAACGAUGAGAUCAAGGGCAUUAUAUUAGUCUAUGGUCGAUCUUGAUGCUAGCUGAUGGGGCCAGCUAGUUUAUUAUGUAUGGUGGGUUAGAGAUUCACUUUUUCUAGUAGUUUUGAUGACUAGAGAUCAGCUUCUCAUAACUAUGUUAUUCAUCUAUAUAUGAAAUUGCCAUUUCAAUUAAUAACAUAAGGGUAUUCAUCUAAAUCUUAUGAUUCAUUACAUACGUACGGGUAUUCAAUAAAUUAAAGAUUAUAUUAGAACUAUUUGGAGCUAGCUAGCUAUAUUUGUUGACAAAUAAAUAAGCUGUGUAGAGCUGCUAGCUGUUCUUUUUGUUACACGAACAACAAGAUUUUGAUAUAUUAGCUUUCCUGGUUGUCUGCUAGUGUUAUUUAGUGGGAUAAUACGAUACAGUCUCAUUAAGUGCAUUGUGAGAACCAACUAUCUUUACUCAAUUACAAGAAAUAAUUGCUUAUCCUAGGCUAGCAUUAAGAUAUUCUUGGGGAGAAUUAAGAGAAAUAAGCCUUACAAAAAAUUUGACUGUUUUAAUUGCUGGAACCAAUGAGUAGUUCAAAAAGAUUAUGUGGGGUCCAAUAUUUGGUGAUCCACUACAUUACAUACUUGGACCCAGUUCCAACCAGCGUAACAAUUUUGUGUGUUCAGAUAUUAAUUUGGAUAAAUAUAAUUGCGCUAGUUUUGCUGUACAAACGAUAAAAGUAUUAAGAAUAAUUGAGCUAGCUCUCUCUUUUGAAGUAUACGAGACUAGCUAGCAAGAAAAUCUUGCCUAGCCAAUGAUAUGAUUUGACCAUAGGACCUAGCAGGUUGGCAACUAUAUAUUAAGGUUCCAUGUCUCAUUUUCUCCUUCAAAAGCUCAUAUAUAAAAAUCAGAUCACAUGUUCAGUGUAUAAAUCCUAGCAUGAACAAAAGAAGAGAAAACAUUACAUAAUCUUCCAAGCUGCCAAUGCCAUGGAGAAGUUUCUUAUUCACGUGAAGAUAAAAGUGAUCCACUAGACAUUAAGAAAGGAUUUUAACUUUCUUUCAAAUAGCGUAGCUUGGGUCCACAAUUGCUGCUCUGUACAUAAGUAAGAGGGUCAUGAG